AGAUUAAGUUAUUAAGGGCGCACGGUGGAUGCCUUGGCACUAGAAGCCGAUGAAGGACGUUACUAACGACGAUAUGCUUUGGGUAGCUGUAAGUAAGCGUUGAUCCAGAGAUUUCCGAAUGGGGGAACCCAGCAUGAGUUAUGUCAUGUUAUCGACAUGUGAAUUCAUAGCAUGUCAGAAGGCAGACCCGGAGAACUGAAACAUCUUAGUACCCGGAGGAAGAGAAAGAAAAAUCGAUUCCCUGAGUAGCGGCGAGCGAAACGGGAAGAGCCCAAACCAACAAGCUUGCUUGUUGGGGUUGUAGGACACUCUAUACGGAGUUACAAAAGAACAUGUUAGACGAAUCAUCUGGAAAGAUGAAUCAAAGAAGGUAAUAAUCCUGUAGUCGAAAACAUAUUCUCUCUUGAGUGGAUCCUGAGUACGACGGAGCACGUGAAAUUCCGUCGGAAUCUGGGAGGACCAUCUCCUAAGGCUAAAUACUCUCUAGUGACCGAUAGUGAACCAGUACCGUGAGGGAAAGGUGAAAAGUACCCCGGAAGGGGAGUGAAAGAGAACUUGAAACCGUGUGCUUACAAGUAGUCAGAGCCCGUUAAUGGGUGAUGGCGUGCCUUUUGUAGAAUGAACCGGCGAGUUACGAUCUGAUGCAAGGUUAAGCAGCAAAUGUGGAGCCGCAGCGAAAGCGAGUCUGAAUAGGGCGUUGAGUAUUUGGUCGUAGACCCGAAACCAGGUGAUCUACCCUUGGUCAGGUUGAAGUUCAGGUAACACUGAAUGGAGGACCGAACCGACUUACGUUGAAAAGUGAGCGGAUGAACUGAGGGUAGCGGAGAAAUUCCAAUCGAACUUGGAGAUAGCUGGUUCUCUCCGAAAUAGCUUUAGGGCUAGCCUCAAGUGAUGAUUAUUGGAGGUAGAGCACUGUUUGGACGAGGGGCCCCUCUCGGGUUACCGAAUUCAGACAAACUCCGAAUGCCAAUUAAUUUAACUUGGGAGUCAGAACAUGGGUGAUAAGGUCCGUGUUCGAAAGGGAAACAGCCCAGACCACCAGCUAAGGUCCCAAAAUAUAUGUUAAGUGGAAAAGGAUGUGGCGUUGCCCAGACAACUAGGAUGUUGGCUUAGAAGCAGCCAUCAUUUAAAGAGUGCGUAAUAGCUCACUAGUCGAGUGACACUGCGCCGAAAAUGUAACGGGGCUAAACAUAUUACCGAAGCUGUGGAUUGUCCUUUGGACAAUGGUAGGAGAGCGUUCUAAGGGCGUCGAAGCAUGAUCGCAAGGACAUGUGGAGCACUUAGAAGUGAGAAUGCCGGUGUGAGUAG
rnacentral:rRNA from 1 species